AACGAACGCUGGCGGCAGGCUUAACACAUGCAAGUCGAACGAGAUCUUCGGAUCUAGUGGCAGACGGGUGAGGAACACGUGGGAACAUCCCUUUCAGUUCGGAAUAACGUUGGGAAACUAACGCUAAUACCGGAUACGUCCUUCGGGAGAAAGAUUUAUCGCUGAAAGAUUGGCCCGCGUCUGAUUAGCUAGUUGGUGAGGUAAUGGCUCACCAGGGCUACGAUCGGUAGCUGAUCUGAGAGGAUGAUCAGCCACAUUGGGACUGAGACACGGCCCGAACUCCUACGGGAGGCAGCAGUGGGGAAUAUUGGACAAUGGGCGCAAGCCUGAUCCAGCCAUGCCGCGUGAGUGAUGACGGCCUUCGGGUUGUAAAGCUCUUUUGUCCGGGAAGAUAAUGACUGUACCGGAAGAAUAAGCCCCGGCAAACUUCGUGCCAGCCGCCGCCGUAACAC
rnacentral:rRNA from 1 species